AUUGAACGCUGGCGGCGUGCUUAACAUAUGCAAGUCGAUCGGUAACGCGGGGGCAACCCUGGCGACGAGAGGCGGACGGGUGAGGAACGCUUGGGAAUCUGCCUAUCAGCGGGGGACAACACGGGGAAACUCGUGCUAAUACCGCAUACGCUCUACGGAGGAAAGCCGGGGACCGCAAGGCCUGGCACUGAUAGAUGAGCCCAAGCCGGAUUAGCUAGUUGGCGGGGUAACGGCCCACCAAGGCGACGAUCCGUAGCUGGUCUGAGAGGACGAUCAGCCACACUGGAACUGAGACACGGUCCAGACUCCUACGGGAGGCAGCAGUGGGGAAUAUUGGACAAUGGGGGAAACCCUGAUCCAGCGACGCCGCGUGGGUGAAGAAGGCCUGCGGGUUGUAAAGCCCUUUCGGUAGGGACGAAAGCUCUCGACCUAACACGUCGGGAGGUUGACUUAACCUACAGAAGAAGCACCGGCUAACUCUGUGCCAGCAGCCGCGGUAAGAC
rnacentral:rRNA from 1 species